rnacentral:miRNA from 1 species
GGGCAGGACAAGGUCCCUGUCCUCUUGGAGCUCACGGUCUGGUAGGGCGGGGUGGGGACAGAGUGGAGAGAGGCCCCUG